CAAAGCAAAAUGGGUGUUUUGUGCUUCUGUUUUUUUUCAUAGUGUUGGAUUUCAUCAUCAGUUUUCCUUGUGGUUAUCUUCAACACUAAAUAAAGUCUAAUGUCACCUGAGUCGUGUUUUGACACACUGGUUUCAGUUGAGAGACAUCAAAGUGCUUGAUUAAAUAGAAGCUCUCCUGUUGCUUCCCAAGAUGGAUAUGGAGUAUGUGAUAAAUGGCCAAUAGCUUGCCUGACAUUGUCCAAAGGCUGUAAACACUAACUGAAUCCCCAUUCUCACCUGCUGCCGGUUACUGCUUCCUGCUCUCUCCUUGUCUUACUGAUGUCGUUUUGCAAACCAUUUUGGAACACCUUAAAUUUGAGCAUAUUACAGAGUCCUUUCACAAGAUCGGUAUUUGUGAAAAGAAAGCUUAUCAUCUGAAGACUUUGAUGCUAUAAUACGUUAUGUAACAAAUACCACAGUGUCAAAAUCUCCUUGUGCCUAUGAUGUGCUACUUAUUGCUCUCACCUGUAGCGCUCCAGUUCAUGAUGGCAGCAAAGGGGCAAUUUGACAAAAAGAUGUCUGAAGCGAAGGUGUGUCGCUGAAUUCCUCCAUGUAGAAGCAACUGCACUCAUUGAUGUUUAUUGAUGCUUGCUGAACGUUUAUGGAGACUUAACAGUGGAUGUGAGCACAGUGAGGAGGUGGGUGGUGCAUUUCAUCAGUGGUAACAGUGACAGUGGGUCACCUCCACUGCUACAGGUUGUUAUGAGUGCGUCAUGCAGGCUGUUGUUCAUCACUGGUGAAAAUGUAUAGUUUGUGGUGGUGACUGUGUUGAAAACUAGUCUUUUGUAGCUGAGAAUUUGCUCUAUCACCUACUGUUCUUGUGCUCUUUGUAUCUACUGUAGUUUCUGUGGAAAUGAAUUGGAGGCAUUGCUUUCAGAUCUACAUAGGUACAUCAUGAAAAUAAAUAGCUUGUUUAAAGAAUGAGUCUAUUCAUACUCUAGUGAGGGAGAAGUAACAGCCUGCACUUAUCUCUUAGUAAACACCACACAUGAGAUCCACAACAUAAGUCUCCCAUCCCAUGGAACUACUUGUUUAUGAAUGCUAUUUAGAGGCAUCUGUCUUUUAUGUGAUAAUCUUUUUUUUUAUUAGCAUAUACAACUUUAAUAUUUAGCAAACCCAUCUUGCAUAACAUUCUAUGAUUUACUGAAAUGAUAUGCAGACUGCAGAAUCGGCAGUGCUGAUAAAAGUGACUGCUCCCAUCUAAUGGUAAAUGGAAGAACAACAGGAAAAUAAUAAUAAUAAUAAAAAAUUCUGCUUUACAGCAGUAACUGUAGGCACAUUGAAAGUUAUAUUCCCAGAUCCAGAGGGUUCAAAAUAGAACCUAAAUAAGAUAGCAAGUAGGAGGAUAAGAGGAUGGUAAUAUUAACAAGUUAUUUUAAAUAUAUAUUUUUAACUUGCUUUUAAUGUUGUAACAGUAGAUGUUAAAAUAAAUAUUGUCUUUUUAUCCAGUUCUUAUUACAACUUGUGUGUGGAUGAAACUUUGAUCUUGUGGACGUGAGGAUAUGUAUGAUAUAUAUAUAUAUAUAUAUAUAUAUAUAUGUUAUAUGUAUGUAUAUACAUGAUAUAUAUGUAUGAUAUAUGUAUUCUAUUCAAAUGAUAGCACAUGACAGAUUAAACCUUUAGGUGGAAUAAGGAUAGAUAGAAACAUUUCUGAACAAAGUACUUCAUAGGAGAGAUGCAGAAGAGGAUGUAUGUAUGGCACAGUAUAAUUAGGUUUGGAAAUUAUUCAGUUAUCGUGGUGAUAUGAAAUUAGAGGCUUCAUGGAAUCAUUUAGGUGGGAAAAGACUCUUAAAAUCAUCAAAUCCAAGCAUUGCUAGAAUUGUAACAUGUUGGAUAUAUACAAGUUCAGUAACACACAUCAUGAUUAUAUAAUGAAUGUUAUUAAACAUCUACUCACAAAAUUAUUCCAUUAAAAUCAAUUAAAUAUUCUCAGUAGCUAUGUAUUUGUGUACUGGAGGAGCAAGACCUGCAGUAUAAGACAUCAUUAAAGGACAAUAUUCCUUUUCUGUAGCCAUUGCCAAUGUAACCACAGCUAUUGCUGUGUGACCUGAUGAGAAAGAAACUGAAAAAAAAAAAAAAAAAAAUAGAAAAAGGAACAAGGAAAAAAAAAUGUAGGCAACGACAAAUGUAUUUUUUCUGUCAUUGUAACCCAUAAGUUGUCUUCAUUAUAUGCUAUUUUUAUCCUUUUCUUUCCCUAGCUCUCUAAAGUGAGGCUCAGUGGCUUUGAAAUUGUAAGAAACCUGGAAUUAUAAUCUAUUUUCAAUGUUCAUGGUUGCAAAUCUCUUUUUAUCAGUGAGUGCUUAUUUGAAAGUACUUGCACUCUUUGAGACAAAACAGCUCAACUACUUAAUAUCUUAACAUGGAGACAUUUUAGGGUAAGCCAAGAUGUGAGAAAUAUGCGACUUUGGAUUGUAACUUUAGAGUUCAGUUGUAACUACUUGAAUUUGGCUAGGAUGUUACCAGGGGUAUUCUCUUAAGAAUGCAAAGGGGUGCUUUUAAAGAGUUGGAUCAAACAGCUUUGAUUUUUGUGUGUAAUUAAAAUAAUCAGAUCUUC